rnacentral:lncRNA from 11 species
AUUGCAGCUGAUGUUUUAACCUGCUGUGCUAAAGCUCGGCCCUAAUAUAUACCUUGUGACUCACAGAUCAUUUUUGCUGCUAAACAUACCAAUCUCCCUGAGCCACAAGUGUAUACAGCACUUCAUAGGGUACACAGGUGCUUGUCCAGGUGAGUUUAAAGUCUUAAAUUCCAUCCAAA